rnacentral:rRNA from 1 species
AAACCAGCACCUCAAGUGGUCAGGAGGAUUAUUGGGCCUAAAGCAUCCGUAGCCUGCUUUGUCAGUUUUCGGUUAAAUCCAUACGCUCAACGUAUGGGCUGCCGGAAAUACUGCAAAGCUAGGGAGUGGGAGAGGUAGACGGUACUCGGGAGGAAGGGGUAAAAUCCUUUGAUCUCUCGAUGACCACCUGUGGCGAAGGCGGUCUACCAGAACACGUCCGACGGUGAGGGAUGAAAGCUGGGGGAGCAAACCGGAUUAGAAACCCCGGUAGUCC